UACGUAGGGGGCAAGCGUUGUCCGGAUUUAUUGGGCGUAAAGCGCGUGUAGGCGGCCAUACAGGUCCGUUGUGAAAACUCGAGGCUUAACCUCGAGACGUCGAUGGAAACCGUAUGGCUAGAGUCCGGAAGAGGAGAGUGGAAUUCCUGGUGUAGCGGUGAAAUGCGCAGAUAUCAGGAAGAACACCUAUGGCGAAGGCAGCUCUCUGGGACGGUACUGACGCUGAGACGCGAAAGCGUGGGGAGCGAACAGG
rnacentral:rRNA from 1 species